GAUGAGCCUAGGUCGGAUUAGCUAGUUGGUGAGGUAAUGGCUCACCAAGGCUACGAUCCCUAACUGGUCUGAGAGGAUGAUCAGUCACACUGGAACUGAGACACGGUCCAGACUCCUACGGGAGGCAGCAGUGGGGAAUAUUGGACAAUGGGCGAAAGCCUGAUCCAGCCAUGCCGCGUGUGUGAAGAAGGUCUUCGGAUUGUAAAGCACUUUAAGUUGGGAGGAAGGGCAUUAGGCUAAUACCUUGCUGUUUUGACGUUACCGACAGAAUAAGCACCGGCUAACUCUGUGCCAGCAGCCGCGGUAAUACAGAGGGUGCAAGCGUUAAUCGGAAUUACUGGGCGUAAAGC
rnacentral:rRNA from 1 species